ACCCGCUGAACUUAAGCAUAUCAAUAAGCGGAGGAAAAGAAACCAACAGGGAUUGCCCCAGUAACGGCGAGUGAAGCGGCAACAGCUCAAAUUUGAAAUCUGGUCCCCCCGCGGGGCCCGAGUUGUAAUUUGAAGAGGAUGCUUCUGGCAAGGUGCCGUCCGAGUUCCCUGGAACGGGACGCCGCAGAGGGUGAGAGCCCCGUACGGUCGGACGCCGAGCCUCUGUGAAGCUCCUUCGACGAGUCGAGUAGUUUGGGAAUGCUGCUCAAAAUGGGAGGUAAACCCCUUCUAAAGCUAAAUACCGGCCAGAGACCGAUAGCGCACAAGUAGAGUGAUCGAAAGAUGAAAAGCACUUUGAAAAGAGAGUUAAAAAGCACGUGAAAUUGUUGAAAGGGAAGCGCUUGCGACCAGACUCGCGCCCGUCGGAUCAGCCGUCGCUCGUCGGCGGCGCACUCCGGCGGGCUCGGGCCAGCAUCAGUUCGCCUCGGGGGGAGAAAGGCGGCGGGAAUGUGGCUCUACGGAGUGUUAUAGCCCGCCGCGUAAUACCCCCGGGCGGACUGAGGACCGCGCGUAUGCAAGGAUGCUGGCGUAAUGGUCGUCAGCGACCCGUCUUGAAACACGGACCAAGGAGUCGUCCUAAUAUGCGAGUGUACGGGUGUCAAACCCCUGCGCGUAAUGAAAGUGAACGGAGGUGAGAGCUUCGGCGCAUCAUCGACCGAUCCUGAUGUUCUCGGAUGGAUUUGAGUAAGAGCAUAUUGGGCCGGACCCGAAAGAAGGUGAACUAUGCCUGUGUAGGGUAAAGCCAGAGGAAACUCUGGUGGAGGCUCGCAGCGGUUCUGACGUGCAAAUCGAUCGUCAAACAUGGGCAUNGGGGGCGAAAGACUAAUCGAACCUUCUAGUAGCUGGGUUUCCGCCGAAGUUUYCCCUCAGGA
rnacentral:sRNA from 1 species